GUGUGUGUAGACAAUAAAGUUGAGAUUUUUAUAAGAUGUAACAGAAUUAACAACUUUACAUGAUGUAAAAAAUGGGAUUCUAAAAGUGAAAAAAUAAUAAUAAUAAUGAUGAUGAUGAAAUAAAAAGAGGGUGUUGUUUACUUACGAUAGUAGUGAUUGGUUUGGAAGCAGAAAGUUGAUUUUCUUUUUCUCUAGAAAGAAAGCUUCGUUCUUCAACCAAAAUCAGAAAACCAUGACAGAAUGAUAGAUUUAAUAAGAAGAGGAAAAAAAAAAAGAAUGAAAGAAAAUGAAAGUGGAAGGUUCUUGGAAGUGUACAAUUUAGAAAGAGGGUGUUGUUACUUGUUUGUGGGAUCUAAAAUCCAAAAGUCGUAAUUGAAUUAUAUCGAAAAGGGUAUCUUUUUAUUUUUCAUAGGACAAAAAUAAGGUU
rnacentral:lncRNA from 1 species